UAGGGAAUCUUCGGCAAUGGACGAAAGUCUGACCGAGCAACGCCGCGUGAGUGAAGAAGGUUUUCGGAUCGUAAAACUCUGUUGUUAGAGAAGAACAAGGACGUUAGUAACUGAACGUCCCCUGACGGUAUCUAACCAGAAAGCCACGGCUAACUACGUGCCAGCAGCCGCGGUAAUACGUAGGUGGCAAGCGUUGUCCGGAUUUAUUGGGCGUAAAGCGAGCGCAGGCGGUUUCUUAAGUCUGAUGUGAAAGCCCCCGACUCAACCGGGGAGGGUCAUUGGAAACUGGGAGACUUGAGUGCAGAAGAGGAGAGUGGAAUUCCAUGUGGAGCGGUGAAAUGCGUAGAUAUAUGGAGGAACACCAGUGGCGAAGGCGGCUCUCUGGUCUGUAACUGACGCUGAGGCUCGAAAGCGUGGGGAGCAAACAGG
rnacentral:rRNA from 1 species